rnacentral:rRNA from 1 species
GAUGAACGCUGGCGGCGUGCCUAAUACAUGCAAGUCGAGCGAACAGACGAGAGUGCUUGCACUCUCUGACGUUAGCGGCGGACGGGUGAGUAACACGUGGGUAACCUACCUAUAAGACUGGGAUAACUUCGGGAAACCGGAGCUAAUACCGGAUAAUAUUUAGCUUCGCAUGAAGCAAUAGUGAAAGACGGUUCUGCUGUCACUUAUAGAUGGACCCGCGGUGUAUUAGCUGGUUGGUGAGGUAACGGCUCACCAAGGCAACGAUACAUAGCCGACCUGAGAGGGUGAUAGGCCACACUGGGACUGAGACACGGCCCAGACUCCUACGGGAGGCAGCAGUAGGGAAUCUUCCGCAAUGGACGAAAGUCUGACGGAGCAAUGCCGCGUGAGUGAAGAAGGUUUUCGGAUCGUAAAACUCUGUUGUAAGGGAAGAACAAGUACGUUAGUAACUGAACGUACCUUGACGGUACCUUACCAGAAAGCCACGGCUAACUACGUG